rnacentral:rRNA from 1 species
GAUCAUGGCUCAGAACGAACGCUGGCGGCAGGCCUAACACAUGCAAGUCGAACGCCCCGCAAGGGGAGUGGCAGACGGGUGAGUAACACGUGGGAACCUUCCCUAUAGUACGGAAUAGCCCAGGGAAACUUGGAGUAAUACCGUAUACGCCCGAAAGGGGAAAGAAUUUCGCUAUAGGAUGGGCCCGCGUAGGAUUAGCUAGUUGGUGAGGUAAUGGCUCACCAAGGCGACGAUCCUUAGCUGGUUUGAGAGAACGACCAGCCACACUGGGACUGAGACACGGCCCAGACUCCUACGGGAGGCAGCAGUGGGGAAUAUUGGACAAUGGGCGCAAGCCUGAACUCCAGCCAUGCCGCGUGAGUGAUGAAGGCCGUUAGGGUUGUAAAGCUCUUUGCCGGGGACGAUAAUGACGGUACCCGGAGAAUAAGUCCCGGCUAACUUCGUGCCAGCCGCUGC